rnacentral:rRNA from 1 species
UACGUAGGGUGCGAGCGUUGUCCGGAAUUAUUGGGCGUAGAGAGCUUGUAGGCGGUUUGUCGCGUCUGCCGUGAAAGCCCAGGGCUUAACCCUGGGUCUGCGGUGGGUACGGGCAGACUAGAGUGUGGUAGGGGAGACUGGAAUUCCUGGUGUAGCGGUGAAAUGCGCAGAUAUCAGGAGGAACACCGAUGGCGAAGGCAGGUCUCUGGGCCGCUACUGACGCUGAGAAGCGAAAGCAUGGGGAGCAAACAGG